rnacentral:rRNA from 1 species
UACGGAAGGCAGCAGUGGGGAAUAUUGCACAAUGGGCGCAAGCCUGAUGCAGCCAUGCCGCGUGUAUGAAGAAGGCCUUCGGGUUGUAAAGUACUUUCAGUCGUGAGGAAGGUGUUAAGGUUAAUAACCUUAGCAAUUGACGUUAGCGACAGAAGAAGCACCGGCUAACUCCGUGCCAGCAGCCGCGGUAAUACGGAGGGUGCGAGCGUUAAUCGGAAUUACUGGGCGUAAAGGGCACGCAGGCGGUUAAUUAAGUUGGAUGUGAAAUCCCCGGGCUUAACCUGGGAAUGGCAUUCAAGCUGGUUAGCUAGAGUCUUGUAGAGGGGGUAGAAUUCCAUGUGUAGCGGUGAAAUGCGUAGAGAUGUGGAGGAAUACCGGUGGCGAAGGCGGCCCCUGGACAAAGGCUGACGCUCAUGUGCGAAAGCGUGGGGAGCAAAC